GUUCAAAAUAGUUAAAAGUUUUGGUGUUUGUUCGAGUGGAAGAAGUAAAGUCACCUUCUCAACUCGUCGUGUUCCGGUCGCUGUCAAGAAUCAGGGACCUUAUGAAGGAACGUGGUUCUUGGCUCAAUAUACUUUUUGGCUGCCAGCUGGAAGUACGAAAAGUUGAUGCAUAGUCUCCAACAGUGGCAUAAGGGGCAGACGCG
rnacentral:misc_RNA from 1 species